rnacentral:rRNA from 1 species
CAGCCGCCGCGGGAAUACGUAGGUGGCAAGCGUUGUCCGGAAUUAUUGGGCGUAAAGGGCUCGCAGGCGGUUUCUUAAGUCUGAUGUGAAAGCCCCGGCUCAACCGGGGAGGGUCAUUGGAAACUGGGAAACUUGAGUGCAGAAGAGGAGAGUGGAAUUCCACGUGUAGCGGUGAAAUGCGUAGAGAUGUGGAGGAACACCAGUGGCGAAGGCGACUCUCUGGUCUGUAACUGACGCUGAGGAGCGAAAGCGUGGGGAGCGAACAGGAUUAGAUACCCCCGUAGUCCCUGUCUCUUAUACA